UUUUUUUAGUCAGAAAACUGU
rnacentral:piRNA from 1 species